AUUGAACGCUGGCGGCAGGCUUAACACAUGCAAGUCGAACGAGUGGCGGACGGGUGAGUCAUGCUUGGGAAUCUAGCUUAUGGAGGGGGAUAACUACGGGAAACUGUAGCUUAUACCGCGUACCAUAGGCUGAGCCUAAGUGGGAUUAGGUAGUUUGUGAGGUAAAGGCUCAUCAAGCCGACGACCUCUAGCUGGUCUGAGAGGUUGACCGGCCACACUGGCACUGAGACACGGCCCAGACUCCUACGGGAGGCAGCAGUGGGGAAUAUUGCGCAAGGGGGGCAAACUGACGCAGCCAUGCCGCGUGAAUGAAGAAGGCCUUCGAGUUGUAAAGUACUUUCGGUAGCGAGGCGUUAACUACAGAAGAAAAACCGGCUAACUCCGUGCCAGCAGCCGCGGUAAUUC
rnacentral:rRNA from 1 species